GAGCGGACAGAUGGGAGCUUGCUCCCUGAUGUUAGCGGCGGACGGGUGAGUAACACGUGGGUAACCUGCCUGUAAGACUGGGAUAACUCCGGGAAACCGGGGCUAAUACCGGAUGGUUGUUUGAACCGCAUGGUUCAAACAUAAAAGGUGGCUUCGGCUACCACUUACAGAUGGACCCGCGGCGCAUUAGCUAGUUGGUGAGGUAACGGCUCACCAAGGCAACGAUGCGUAGCCGACCUGAGAGGGUGAUCGGCCACACUGGGACUGAGACACGGCCCAGACUCCUACGGGAGGCAGCAGUAGGGAAUCUUCCGCAAUGGACGAAAGUCUGACGGAGCAACGCCGCGUGAGUGAUGAAGGUUUUCGGAUCGUAAAGCUCUGUUGUUAGGGAAGAACAAGUACCGUUCGAAUAGGGCGGUACCUUGACGGUACCUAACCAGAAAGCCACGGCUAACUACGUGCCAGCAGCCGCGGUAAUACGUAGGUGGCAAGCGUUGUCCGGAAUUAUUGGGCGUAAAGGGCUCGCAGGCGGUUUCUUAAGUCUGAUGUGAAAGCCCCCGGCUCAACCGGGGAGGGUCAUUGGAAACUGGGGAACUUGAGUGCAGAAGAGGAGAGUGGAAUUCCACGUGUAGCGGUGAAAUGCGUAGAGAUGUGGAGGAACACCAGUGGCGAAGGCGACUCUCUGGUCUGUAACUGACGCUGAGGAGCGAAAGCGUGUGGAGCGAACAGGAUUAGAUACCCUGGUAGUCCACGCCGUAAACGAUGAGUGCUAAGUGUUAGGGGGUUUCCGCCCCUUAGUGCUGCAGCUAACGCAUUAAGCACUCCGCCUGGGGAGUACGGUCGCAAGACUGAAACUCAAAGGAAUUGACGGGGGCCCGCACAAGCGGUGGAGCAUGUGGUUUAAUUCGAA
rnacentral:rRNA from 1 species